AGUGAACGCUGGCGAUAGGCCUAACACAUGCAAGUCGAACGGCAGCACAGUAAGAGCUUGCUCUUACGGGUGGCGAGUGGCGGACGGGUGAGGAAUACAUCGGAAUCUACUUUUUCGUGGGGGAUAACGUAGGGAAACUUACGCUAAUACCGCAUACGACCUACGGGUGAAAGCAGGGGAUCUUCGGACCUUGCGCGAUUGAAUGAACCGAUGUCGGAUUAGCUAGUUGGCGGGGUAAAGGCCCACCAAGGCGACGAUCCGUAGCUGGUCUGAGGGGAUGAUCAGCCACACUGGAACUGAGACACGGUCCAGACUCCUACGGGAGGCAGCAGUGGGGAAUAUUGGACAAUGGGCGCAAGCCUGAUCCAGCCAUACCGCGUGGGUGAAGAAGGCCUUCGGGUUGUAAAGCCCUUUUGUUGGGAAAGAAAAGCAGCAGGUUAAUACCCCGCUGUUCUGACGGUACCCAAAGAAUAAGCACCGGCUAACUUCGUG
rnacentral:rRNA from 1 species